rnacentral:rRNA from 1 species
GGAAUAUUGGACAAUGGGGGCAACCCUGAUCCAGCCAUGCCGCGUGUGUGAAGAAGGCCUUCGGGUUGUAAAGCUCUUUCGGCGGGGACGAAACGGUCCGGGCUAACACCACGGACUAAUGACGGUACUCGCAGAAGAAGCACCGGCGAAAUACGUGCCAGCAGCCGCGGUAAUACGUAGGGUGCAGGCGUUAAUCGGAAUUACUGGGCGUAAAGCGUGCGCAGGCGGCUCCUUAAGUCAGAUGUGAAAGCCCCGGGCUUAACCUGGGAACUGCGUUUGAAACUGGGGAGCUAGAGUGUGGAAGAGGGGGGUGGAAUUCCAGGUGUAGCAGUGAAAUGCGUAGAGAUCUGGAGGAACACCGAUGGCGAAGGCAGCCCCCUGGGCUAACACUGACGCUCAUGCACGAAAGCGUGGGGAGCAAAC